rnacentral:rRNA from 1 species
AUUGAACGCUGGCGGCAGGCCUAACACAUGCAAGUCGAGCGAGCGGCGGACGGGUGAGUUAUGCCUGGGAAUUGCCCAGUCGGGGGAGAUAACAGUUGGAAACGACUGCUAAUCCCGCAUACGAAUGUGUUGCCUAUGUGGGAUUAGCUAGUUGGGGAGGUAAUGGCUCACCAAGGCGACGAUCCCUAGCUGGUCUGAGAGGAUGAUCAGCCACACUGGAACUGAGACACGGUCCAGACUCCUACGGGAGGCAGCAGUGGGGAAUAUUGCACAAUGGGGGAAAGCCUGAUGCAGCCAUGCCGCGUGUGUGAAGAAGGCCUUCGGGUUGUAAAGCACUUUCAGCGGGGAGGCGUUACUCGCAGAAGAAGCACUGGCUAACUCCGUGCCAGCAGCCGCGGUAAUAC